AACGGAAGUGGAACUCACUGAAAACCAAUUUUGACUUCAGCUUUACUAAGUAAUUUACGACAAUGCCAGCCAGAGAUAAAAAUCUUCCAGAAAAGGAAAGCAGGCAGAGCACAAAGGAGAACAGAAGGAAGACCUCACUUUACAAAGCUUUAACUUGACGGAGUGUUUUUUUACCUGGUAGCUCAUGGGCUUCAUCCCAGUCCUCCAAGAUAGCAAGGUUAGAUAUAACCUCCAAUUAUAAUUAAGGAAAUGGGGUUUGGAGAAAUUGACUGAUCUGUCCGGGCCAUGUGGUUACAAAGUGGUAAGCGGGGCCUCAGACCAGCCCUGUGACUUCACGUUCCACACUCUUUAAUAUUGUAUUGACAUUUCUUGAGGGCCUACGCUAUGCCAGGCUUCACACAGAGGAAUGUGAUUUAUUGUCUCAUUUAAUUCUCUGUAAUUCCGAUUGUUAAAAACAUCUCCAGUUCGCCUCCAAACAUCGACCUGCAAGGUUAACAAUUGGACCCACUGGUUGAAAUUCAGAAAUACGUCAUUCACAAAGGAGUCCAGAUGUUGAACAUGUUAUUUGACAGUGUAACUAAUGUACCACAUGAACAGCAGCUUGCUCUGUGUUUCCAGUCUGUGAACAUCCUCUGGAAAGCUUGGAACCAAAUCUGACAUUCAGAUCCAGUCAGGGAUUAUUUUGUGGAAAAGAACAGGACCCACCCACGCUAACGGAACUAAGGAAAGAUUUUGCAAGGAAAUAUCUUACUGACGUUGAGAACUGUCUCUGUCCCGGGGGAGAGGCUCCAGUUAGCUCUGUCUGGCUAACCUUUUGCCCACGCUGCUGCCCGAUUUCCUCAGCAGACCUGGGCCCACGACAACUGACCACACAGCAGAGAGAAAGGGAAGAGGAGCCUCAGACUGGUUUACCCUUGAGUAAUGUCUCCUACAGAAUAAUGUCUUUUUAUAUUUUAGGAGUCCUUAUAAGCUAUCUUAAACACUUUCAGGAAAAGAUGGGAGAGACAUGUGGUAAGCACAGCUGAGUAUGUUGGGGAAAAAAUAUACAAUCAUCGUUUAUUUGACAAAUGUUUAUUGAGUGUCUACAUGACAUAAUGGGGUAAGAAAUAGUUCUAGUAAACCUAGUGAAAAUUUAGUCUUGGUGCCAACUUCGGCACAAGUCAAAAUAGGCUAACAACUCCUCUUCAGCCUCUGUGUUUUUGGGCCCGUAUGAUAAAAGCCAGCAUUCAGGAUGAUGACCCAGGCACCCAAAGAUCUGUACCACCCAGAAAGAUAAACUUCACUGUCCCUGGAAUUGUCUGAGGGUGGGAAAAUGAACUUAUCCAGCUGGAAAUUAGUUUCAAUAUGAUCUAGACAAUAGGGGCACCCGGGUGGCUCGGUCGGUUAGGCGUCUACCUUCAGCUUAAGUCAUGAUCUCAGGAUCCCAGGAUCAAGCCCCACAUUGGGCUCCCAGCUCAGCAGGAAGCCUGCUUCUCCCUCUUACUGUACAUCUUCCUCCACUUGUUCUAUCUCUCAAAUAAAUAAAUAAAUAAGGUCUUUGGGGAAAAAAAGAUCUGGACAAAAGAGGUUUUAUAGCUAAUUUUAAGUUAACCUCUUAAUAAACAGAACACUCCAUUCCCCCAUCUAAUCCUUAAUGUAAAAGAUUCACAUCCACAAAAGUGGAUAAGCAAAAAAGAACAACAAAAAGGAGCCCCCGGAGGAAGAUCUGGUUAAUUACUGCUGCCUGUGUGAUCUACGUGUACCCGUUAAGCUAUGUUAAGGUAUUUCAAAAUAGGGAAACGCCAAACAGCCUACUGUGUUCAUGCAUCUGACUGAGGAGCUUCGAGAAAAUCUUACAGGGGACAACUGCAUUGUAAUUAUAAUGAUGGUUAACACACCGGGCACUAUGAUACUAGACUCUUAGUAUAUAAUAGCUUAUGUAAAUAAGAUACAUAUAAAUACAUACAUGUAUAUACACAUAUACAUAUAUGUAAAUGUCAUAUACAUAUAACUCUGAGCUUUAAGGGUUGUUAUCACCCCCAUUCUGUAGAUGAGAAAACUGAGUCUCGAAGAGUGAAUAAAACCUA